rnacentral:rRNA from 1 species
UACGGAGGGGGCAAGCGUUGUCCGGACUUACUGGGCGUAAAGGGUGCGUAGGCGGUCUUGUGCGUCGGUGCUGAAAGCGCCCGGCUUAACCGGGCGAGGCGUGCCGAUACGACGAGACUUGAGGGGCAGUGAGGGUGGCGGAACUCCUGGUGUAGUGGUGAAAUGCGUAGAGAUCAGGAAGAACACCCGUGGCGAAGGCGGUCAACUGGCCUCAUAUUGACACUCAGACGCGAAGGCAUGGGUAGCGAACGGG